rnacentral:rRNA from 1 species
GACGAACGCUGGCGGCGUGCUUAACACAUGCCAGUCGAACGGAAAGGCCCUGCUUUUGUGGGGUGCUCGAGUGGCGAACGGGUGAGUAACACGUGAGUAACCUGCCCUUGACUUUGGGAUAACUUCAGGAAACUGGGGCUAAUACCGGAUAGGAGCUCCUGCUGCAUGGUGGGGGUUGGAAAGUUUCGGCGGUUGGGGAUGGACUCGCGGCUUAUCAGCUUGUUGGUGGGGUAGUGGCUUACCAAGGCUUUGACGGGUAGCCGGCCUGAGAGGGUGACCGUCCACAUUGGGACUGAGAUACGGCCCAGACUCCUACGGGAGGCAGCAGUGGGGAAUAUUGCACAAUGGGCGGAAGCCUGAUGCAGCAACGCCGCGUGCGGGAUGACGGCCUUCGGGUUGUAAACCGCUUUCGCCUGUGACGAAGCGUGAGUGACGGUAAUGGGUAAAGAAGCAACGGCUAACUACGUG